AGUGAACGCUGGCGGUAGGCCUAACACAUGCAAGUCGAACGGCAGCACAGUAAGAGCUUGCUCUUACGGGUGGCGAGUGGCGGACGGGUGAGGAAUACAUCGGAAUCUACUUUUUCGUGGGGGAUAACGUAGGGAAACUUACGCUAAUACCGCAUACGACCUACGGGUGAAAGCAGGGGAUCUUCGGACCUUGCGCGAUUGAAUGAGCCGACGUCGGAUUAGCUAGUUGGCGGGGUAAAGGCCCACCAAGGCGACGAUCCGUAGCUGACCUGAGAGGAUGAUCAGCCACACUGGAACGGAGACACGGUCCAGACUCCUACGGGAGGCACCAGUAUGGAAUCUUCCGCAAUGUGCGAAAGCUUUACGGAGCAACACCGCGUGUGUGAGGAAAGUCUGCGGAUCGUAAAACCCUGUUAUUAGGGAAAAACAACUGUAUAAGUAACCACCCACGUCCUGACGGUACCUAGUCAGAAAGCCACGGCUAACUACGUG
rnacentral:rRNA from 1 species